GGAGAGAUGCCGGAGUGGUUGAACGGGGCGGUCUCGAAAACCGUUGUGGCCCGUAUGGGUCACCGUGAGUUCGAAUCUCACUCUCUCCG
rnacentral:tRNA from 2 species